GCAAUACUUUAGCGUGUACAUAUCAGAUAUGCCAUUACUAGGGAAGACAAAAAUAUGCACAAAUAACUUAAUUAUAUGAUCAUUAAAAUUACUCCAAUAUAUUAAAA